UGGAAAAUAAUCAAAUUGCUGGCUGUCUUCUGAAGAAAAUAGGACAAAGCAUAGUUAAAAUAUUCCAAGACUAUCUUUUUGUCUCUGUUUUGAUUGUACUUUUGUUCUUUUGCUUUGAAAUUGAAGGAAAAAACACAAAAUCAUUCAUGGAGAAAAGAAGCAAUUCUUUCUCUUAUAUUUGAUGGGUAUUUCACUUUUCUUUUUGCACUUCAGUAGGCGAGAAGCUCACAUCCAAAAGAAAUUGUCCAUUAUUUUUUACCGAUAGACGAAUAGGUUUUUGGUCCCUGCAAACGGAUGAGAAUAUUCCUCGCGGCUUUCUCUCUGGCUUCGGGAGAAACUGAAUGGAUUGGUUCAGCAGGAAAAACUACAACUAUAGGGGAAUCCUCCCUUGACACUCAUAGGUCGAGUUUCGGCUCGAGUGGUCAAAAACGACUUGUCCAAGCAAAUUGAAAGUUGAUUCGAAUGAUGUGAGGGAAGAUCUUGAGCUCUUUCUUUUGCUCUUGAUUUAGACCCUCUUCCCUUUUUACUUCUUUUUUUUAAAGGUAUGAUGGCAAAGUGACAAUUGCAGGAAGAGAAGUUCCUCUUUUAUAUAGCAAUGAGAAAGGAAGUUUUAGGUAUAGCAAAUUGUUUCAUAGCAUUUUUGACACUUCAAAGUGUGGAACUUUUCAGCUCAACAAUGGUUUGGCUCGAACUCCUCAAAUGGGAUGGAAUAGCUGGAAUUUCUUUGCAUGUAAUAUCAAUGAAACAGUCAUCAAGGAAACAUCUGAUGCACUUAUUUCAACUGGCUUGGCUGAUUACGUUAUGUGUAUGUCAAUAUAGAUGAUUGCUGGUCUGUUGCAACGAGAGAUGCAAAGGGUCAUCUAGUCUUGAUCAUAAAAACUUUCCAUGAGGAAUCAAAGUUCUUGCUGAUUAUAUACAUGGGAAAGGCCUCAAGCUUGGUAUCUAUUCUGAUCCUGGGUAUGAAAAGUUUUCAAGCAUGUGUCAGAAGCUGGAAGAUAGAUAAUUCAUUAUGAUCACUGCUGUUUUGAUCUCUAUUCACUCUAUGGACUCACCAAACUGCAUCUCUGUAGGAUUUUUACAUGUGAAGUUCGACCAGGGUCACUUCACCAUGAAGAAGAUGAUGCUGAUCUAAUUGCUUCUUGGAUUAGUUUCUUUGCUAUAUUGUCCUGAAUGUUGAUUGAAGGCCUACUGAAUGGUCCAUUACCUAAGUGUAUUUGCAUGUGCAUGGAGGUGAAUAAUUUUCUAUUCGUAUUUGUGUUUUACAUUCCCUCUUUGAAGUAUGCAAUGAGUUAAUUUAUCA